GUUCUAAUAGCAUAGAGUCAUAAAUGUUCCCGGGGUUCGGGCACAUUGUGUGAUUCGAUAAAGAGAAAAACAAGAAAAAAAGACAUUUCUGAAAAACGACAAAAUUAUCAAUAUGGUUGUUGUGUUCACGGAAAUGUCUAGCUAGGUAGUUACCUAAAGCAUCGUGGGACCGUGGACAACAACAGGAGUCCGGACGGCGGCACGCAAAACUGCAUUGCCUGCUUCAUGGGUAAAUGUAGCCUUACCCACAUCAACCUGGACCCCAUACACACAUGCUAAAGCAGGUGGAUUGGGUUUUGGAAAACAGUGUUCCCAG
rnacentral:lncRNA from 1 species